GCAGUUUGAUCUCAGACUGCUGUGCUAGCAAUCAGCGAGACUCCAUGGGCGUAGGACCCUCGGAGCCAGGUGCGGGAUGUAAUCUCGUGGUGCGCCGUUUUUUAAGCCCGUCGGAAAAGCGCAAUAUUCGGGUGGGAGUGACCCGAUUUUCCAGGUAGAGACACUUUUGACUUGAUCUCUGCAGUCCUCAACAUGGUCGAAGUCUGAAAUCAAGUGUGAGCAGGGCCACAUGGGCCCAUUCUGAAGACCCGAAGGAGAGUCCCCCUUUCCCUCUUCCAGCGUCUGGCAGUCCUAGGCCUUCUUUGGUUGACGGCAGCCUCACUUCCAUCUGUGCCUGUGACUCACAUAGCCCUCUUCUCAAAGUCUCUGACUUUCUCUUCUCUUAAAAGAACACCUCGGCUGGGUGUGGUGGCACACGCCUGUAAUCCCAGCACUUUGGGAGCCCCAGGCAGGUGAUCUGCCUGCCUCGGCCUCCCAAAGUGCUAGGAUUAUAGGCAUGAGCCACAGCAUGGGGCCCAGUUUCAAUCUUUUACCAAUGAAAACCUGAACACAAAACAAUAAUUCUUAACCAAUCAUGAUGAAACACAGUAACUUUUUUUUUUAAUAAAAGGAAGAAGAAAGUGUUGAAAAUUGACAUCUAUGUUUACAUAUCACAGCAACACAAAGUGCCAGCAAAAAAAAAAAAAGUGGAAAAAUGAAAGUAUCUUGGCCCCAUGAGUUUUGCUCUGCUUCCCACUGUCAUUUAUUCAGUACAUGUGUCACUAGAUCCAGGACUUGCUCUAGAAGUUGGAGGAAGUCAAUGGCACUGUGAGAAACGUGAAUUACCAAGGGACUCUGUCAUGUCCUUCGUUACUCAUGUGACUUCCUUACAUGAAAGGAAAAUAGAUCCUGGGGCCUCCAAAUCACUCAGCUAAAGGGAAAAGUCAAGCUGGAUCUGCUUAGGGCAAACCUGCCUCCCAUUUAUUCAAAGUCAUCCCACUCUUCACUGAGAUAAAUGCAUAUCUGAUGGCCUCCUUUGGAAAGGCUCAUCAGAAACUCAGAAGAAUGCAACCAUUUGUCUCUUAUCUACCUAUGACCUGGAAUUUCAGUAUUAAACCAAUGUUUAUCUUGCAUAUAUUGAUUGAUGUCUCAUAUCUCUGUAGAGACUACAUGAAAAUUUUGUUGUUGAAAUAAUUCGUUGUACUGAGCUUCAAUUGAAAUGCUUAAAUACCUUGAAAACAUUUCCAUUUUUGCCUUUACUCAAAUCAGGUGGUGGCUACUUUCUAAUGAAUGCAAAUCCCAGUAUGUGAAAAGUGUGGGUUAGGACAAUAAAAGGGGAGGUGACACCAUUUUAAUGGUUUCUCAGAAGCUGUGCUCCGAUGUCCUUGGGCACAUGUCAUCAGUACCUCCUGAGGUUAUGUCACAGGUGCAUGUCCUUAACUUUGGCAAAAUAAACUUCCUAAAUUAACUGAGAUCUGUCUCAGAUAUUCAGGCUUCAGAGCUAUGCCAGCUAACCCCUUAUGCUGAAAACGAGGACUUAGAAGGAAAGGGCAAGAGAGCCAGACUUGCUUUUUCCUUUUUUUUUUUUUUUUUUAAGUCUUUCCUUAUUCAUCAAUAAGCCAAAAGUAGAGGUUGUUAGUAGAAAAUGUGUGCACCAAGAAGUGAAAUAAAGA
rnacentral:lncRNA from 10 species